UUGAAGCUCUCAUCUGCUGGCAAGGGGAAGGUCCCACCUCCUUGGUUCCAGCUGAGCUGGUGUGACAGUUCUCCAGCCCCAAAAGGAGAACUAAAGGGAUUCCUCUUGUGCAGGCAGUGAGGGCUUAUAGUGUGAAAAGUGUGGGUCUGAGGAAUGCAGUAAGUUUUCUUGAGAUGGCCGUGGAGCAGUGAAUGCCUGCCCUGGAUAUGGGGGGCUGUUUGGGAGGAUGAAGAGGAGAUGCCCUCUCUCCCAGCAUAGCCUCUGAGCAGAGCUCUUGCAUGCAAGCAGCUCGUGCAGCAAGCUCAGUGAGUGCAGUGUGAGCUAUAAAUAGGCAUUCUAUCACUUCGAGUCAAAUGGUUCUUCCUCACAUUGUGUUUUUCUGAUGGAUUUAAUUAGAAUUUAGAAAUUUAAUUAGAAUUUAGUUGUUUGGGCUCUGCUUGGGUUGUGUUUUGGGAGCCCAGUGCUUGUGGUGGCUCUUGCCAUGGCACCGCUUGGCCACCUGAAGGCACCUGUGCUGCCUGCGUUGUAGCAGCUGCUGAUGUGCCCCAGUAUGUUUCCAGAGCCACCACAGCCCAUGCUGGCAGCACAUGGAACUGGAGCAGGGCUAAGGCCAAGGAGAGUCAUGGGGCUGAUGGAUCCACUCUGCUGUACAGGAACAGAGGGAGCAUGAGAGGGAGGUGGCUAGAAACCAACCACACUGAUGGGUUUGGUCUGCCUGUUCUAAGAAAUAAACCAGAGCCCAUUGGUGAGCAGCUGAUUUUCUGCUGGUUGAAUGAAGAUGCUGUCUGAAGCAGUUUCUUCUUUUCUGCUUGUCGUUUGUUUCCCAUAUGAACACUCUUUGGCAUAAACAUGUCCUGCUGAGUAUUAAGCCUGACAUAGACCUGCCUCCACUGCCACAGUGAUGUUUUGUCCAAACCCAUGUUAUCCAAAACCAGGCUGGCUUGUCAUUCUGAGGUCCCUAUGGAAAGCAGGAGGUUGUGCCCACCAAGUACCAGGUGUCCUCUGGAUUGUCUCAGUGUCCUUGAUCAACUUCUGAUGUCUGCAUAAGGACAACACCCUCCAUUUUGAAGGACUUGGCUGUAGAAAUAAAGUUGAGUAGGUUGUGCUUUGGCUUAAUGAAAAAGGUUAUGCUUUUCUUUCUCUUGUUUUCCUUUGUAAAGUCCAUUGAAUCCAUUUUGCUUUUUCAACAAGGAGUAUAUAUGGUACUCCAGGGGAAAACAAAAAGAUUUUGAGAGGGAGUGGGGGAAGAAAACAAAUCAUUUACUUAAGAAUUGGAGAAGUGUUCUCAAAAAGGGAUUAUGAAAUAUGGUGACAGUAUCUGAAUUGGUAAAGUAGUAUGAGAAACAAUUUUCUUCUCCCAGGAAAGUGUGUAAGAUUUUGAAUCAGAAGGAAUAACUUGAAUUCAGACACUUUUGCUAAUCUGUUAAUUUAUUUGCUUUAUUUGAACAAACUCAUUGCUGUCCUGACAUCUUUUUAAUAGUUCAUCUAGCUUUAAGCAUUUUUAAUUUGAGCUUUAAAUACAUUUUUCUUCCCUUUUGUAAAUAAAUAAAUAAAUAAACACCCCCAGAUAUGAAAGUGACCCUUUCUUCUGAUCAGCUUCCAUUUAAUAGAUGUGCAUUUUUCAAAGGGAGAAUUACAUUAAGCUUUUACUGAUGAGCUUCAUAGACUGGAUGUGGCCAAGAUAUGUGCCUGGCUUAAGUCCUGCUUGUGUUGCUUGUCUUGCCUGUGAGCUGAGUGGAGAAAUAGGAUGAGAUGGUGAAGAGCACAAGAGAGAAAUGUUCCUCAUACUGUUAUAUGCUCCUGUUACUUCCAGAGUUCUGGGACUUCAACCUGACAUGUUCUGGAUUUGAACAUCCCCAAGUCUGGAGGCUGCCUGCUGCCUGGUGUGGGCUUAUCUGUGCAGGAGGCAAGCUGAAGUGCUCUGUGCCGUUGCCGUGCCUUUUAAAUGAGGAGGAGAAGAGGAAAGCUGAAGUCUUCAAUCUGCCUGUUGAACAAAAAUUAUUUGCGGCUGAUGAAUGGCUGAGUAGCAAUAAGCAAAUUCCCCUGAAAGUACAUAGAAUGGUCAGCUGUGGCGCAGCAGCGUUAUACCGGUUGUGGGAUGAUUGACAUAUCUGAAAAAUAAAAGAUGCAAGUGUGGAAGCUUCUGUAAUUGCUCCUGUGUUGGUACAACUCCAGUGGAAUAUGAAUUGACAUUUUUGGUCAAUUAUAAGAGACCUAAGCUGAUCCCUGUGCUGAGGACAAGGUGAUGGGCGGAUGUUAAGCUUCACAUCUACAUUUAGUGUGAUUAAACCUCUGCCACUGUCUGAUUUUGGAGACUGGUGAACAUCAGCCAUUCUUAGAGACAGCAGAGCCAGAGUAACCUGUGGCUGCAGAGGGGAUGCGGGACAGCGCAGCUAAGGAGAGCGCAGUGUGCUUAACCUGCUUUCUGGGCUGACACACAGAAUGGCUUCCACUGAAAGUGUGUAUAGAAUCAGAGGGUUAUUCCACACCUGUAAACUGGACAACCAUCAUGGAAGAUCGGCAUUUACAGGCGGUGCUCACUCAUCCUUCAGCAGCAUCCCUCUCUCUGCCUGGUGCCUAUGGGAUCUGUUCAGGGCACAUCUAUUAGGAACCUGGCCUGCGCAUCCCAGAAGACAGCAAGAGAUGGAUGGUGCUGGCAUGCGGCCACUUCAGAGAACAGAGCUGGAUCAGCCUGCCAGGGACGGGUGCAGACAAAUGGAACCUGCAGGACAAGCACGCCAUUACCUGCUUUGCCAAACUCAUUACAGAGAAGUUGUGAAGUUCCAGUAUGCUGCUCCUGGUCUCUGAGACAAAGCUGUCAGCUGGUUCGUGAAUAAUUCCAGGAAACGUUCAGAGAAAUAGAGCAGUCGUUGGAUUACUUGGUGAAAUGCCUGUAUUCAAGAUACAGGAAGCUAUUUUGGCCUUGGCAAAUUGGUUAAAGUCCGAUUACAAUUUCUAAAGGAGGUAGAUGACCACAGCUUAAGAGUGAAUCCAGGCAGCUCGUUGUCAGCUGGCACCCAGCAUGCUGCAGGUGAAGAUGGAAGCUCCAGCCCCAGGGAGGAAUAAUGCUGACCCCACAUCAGCACCAGCUCCUCACACCCAGCAGGGAUCAGGUGCUCUGGGGCAGAAAGCCUUGAUUCAUGGCAUUCCAAGCUUCAGACAAAGGCGGUUGGAGCACCGUGGUCAUGAACUCCAUCACAGACUGGCUAUCAGCAGGAUGGAGGUGGCUGCAUGCUUUGCAGAUGAAUCGAUAUGGAGGAAGAAAGCCCUAAUUUGCUGCAUCCUUUGCCUUUUCCAGUUAUGACCAAUGGAGACGUUUCAAAACCAUGGCUCAGAGGUAUCUAGCAAAUGCUGAUGGAAGGGAAAUAAGGAAACAAGAGGAGCACAUGGGGCGCUGGCAGCAGAGCUGCAUGUGGUUGUUGUUGGGGGACCGGGGUCGGUUGUGAGCGUCCUUUGUGUAAGGCUGUUCUUGUGUCUGUCCAUCCCAGUUUGUAGGCAGCAGUAAGUGGGGGCUCUGAAUGCUUCUCCCUAGCUGUGUUUUACACCAUUUUAUGGCUCUGGAUUGCAGUGAGUAAGGGGAUUGAAAAUGACUUUACUAUAGUUCAGACUAGAGCUCACAAGAAGUUUGUUAUCAAACUCAUCAGUGUGGUAAUUAGGGGUACUCGAGUGUAUCUAGAUGGAGAAAAUGCAUUUUCUGUAAAAAGAUCAAUUUUUUUUCCAUGGAAAAAAAUUAUUUUCAAGGAAACACAUAGACGUUUCUGUUUUGUCAAGAAGAUUUGAACGAAGCACAUCAUUCCUGCCUGGCGGAUCCAGAUCAAACUAUCUCAGCGUAUUAAGCCAAAUCAAAACAUGUCAUUUUCAGUUAAUUCAGGGUUUCUCUGUACUGCCCAGAGCUGGGGCUCAGUGCUGUGAGCCACCCUUCUGCUGCCCAGGUGCUGUCAGGGCUUUCAUGCCCUCAAGGCAUGGGCCAGGGCUCAGAGGCUGGCUGGGAGGGCAGAGGGAUGGCAGCAGACUGUGGGCUGAUGGUGUUUGGGCUGAACCUGUGCAGGAGAGGUGAGCUGCUGUGCUGCUGCAACAGCUCAACAAGGCAUAGCGGAACCUUUUGAUUUAUGUAUGUAGAAAUGUUCAGGUUGGACAAAGUACAUUAAGGUAAUCAGAUCUACUGAUGAAUGGGAACUUGGGUCUGCAAUCUUGCCUAUGACUUACGUUUAAUUUCCUUUUGCUUUGCACAAAGCUCCUGUGGUGCUGCACCAUGUUGUCUCCUGGGCUGGGCAGCACUGGAUGGACUAGGAGAGACCAUCUAGCUUUUUUAUUUGCAAAAACUGAAUCCCUUUGAGCAUAGCCAAACUCUUCUCUUUGAGAUUCAACAUAGCCAAACUCUUAUUCUUUUUUAACCUGUCCAUCUGCAGAGCUUUCCAAAUACUUCUGUAAGCAUUAGUUUCUGGGAAAAGAUUGGGUUCCAGGCUUGAUUAGUAGGCUUACUUACAGUGGUCAUGGUGCUUGCAGCAUCAUCAUCUUGCAGCACUGCUAGGGAUUGAUAUCUGACAGUCAGAAUAAAUUCUCUGUAUCUGUUAGGCUGAUAGAGUCAGACCUACCACUGUUAGCCUUCUGCAAGUGAAUGAGAGUCUCUGACUCUCCAUGAACGUGCACAAAUAUGAAUCUGAAGCAUCACCAUCCCUGAAUAGGAGUAUGGACUCUGUGAUCCUUAUGGGUCCCUUCCAACUUGGGAUCUUCUAUGAUUCUGUGAUUUUGUAAGUCAAUUGAACAAGUCUUUGUAAUUAAGCAAAAGCUUCUCCUUACAAACAUCAUUUGUAAAUGCUGAUUGCAUUCAACUGAGAUGCGAAACAUCUGUUGACUCUAACCCAAGCUUUGGCCCAGGUGAGGAAAAAAGCUCAUAGAGCUGUUCAUGGAUUUUCCUCACAUUGAAGUGUUAAAGUUGAGAAGGACUGGGAUGACUGCUACCCGCUGGGAUCGCCUGGUAAGAGCGGUGUUGCUUUCUUUUCCCUUCCAGGCCUGCUGAGUGUGAUUAAAGACAGGUCAGGAAGGGCUGCCUGCUAAUAAUUCUAUAGAGGAAAUCUCUUGCAUUAUUCAUCAGACAUAUAUGGCCUAUUCUAAGAGGAGAGAAAAUAGAGAAGCACCUUUGGUUGUAUUGUAACAUCUGCGAGUACAGCUGGUUCUUUUUCUAUGUUCCACUUAUUAUGUGCAAUUUGUAUGUUUUCUUCUCCAUCUUCAGUAAAAAAAAAAGAAAAAAAAAA